UUUGGGAGGCAGAGAUAGGAGGAUUGCUUGAGCCUAGAAAUUUGAGACCAGCCUGGGCAACAUAAUGAUAUCCCAUCUCUGCAAAAAUUAAAUAAGUAACUGUGUGUGGUAUCCGUGCCACUGCACUCCAGCCUGGCAACAGAGCGAGCCUUCAUAUAAAAAAAAAUUGUAACUACAUCCAAGCAUUAACUUGGAAUAUAUAUAGUUAUAUUCACACACACACACACGUGUGUGUAUAUAUAUAUGUGUGUGUGUAUAUAUAUAUUUUUGAACUUGGGGUGGGAAAUCAGCAUACUCUAAUGAACUGUUGUUUUUACUUAACAAGUUUGUUUCCUUUAUUUUCCAAUUCUUGACCAACACUAAGAUGUCUAUGUUUUUCUAUGUAUGUUGGAGCAAUCUCUAGAAAAAAUUGUCUACAAGUCCCCAACCAAUGUCUUGUAUGCAUUAAUGAUAGUCUAUUUCUACUUUUGAAGU
rnacentral:lncRNA from 1 species